CUCUUUUGAAUCCCUACACCAGCAAUGAAGCUUUUCAAAGUAGCAAGGUGAAAGCAGACUCCAGAAUAAACACAAGAAUCCCUUUCUCCUCAGCAUCCAGCAAGAGAACUAUCCAGCCUUCUCUCAACUCUGUGUUGCUGAGACUAAAGUCCAGGGAGUGCUGUGGAGAGACC
rnacentral:lncRNA from 1 species